rnacentral:rRNA from 1 species
CAGCAGCCGCGGUAAAACGAAGGGGGCUAGCGUUGUUCGGAUUUACUGGGCGUAAAGGGCGCGUAGGCGGACUGGUAAGUCAGGGGUGAAAUCCCAAGGCUCAACCUUGGAAUUGCCUUUGAUACUGUUUGUCUUGAGUUCGAGAGAGGUAAGUGGAACUGCGAGUGUAGAGGUGAAAUUCGUAGAUAUUCGCAAGAACACCAGUGGCGAAGGCGGCUUACUGGUUCGAAACUGACGCUGAGGCGCGAAAGCGUGGGGAGCAAACAGGAUUAGAUACCCCGGUAGUCCCUGUCUCUUAUAC